rnacentral:rRNA from 1 species
GAAUCUUAGACAAUGGGCGCAAGCCUGAUCUAGCCAUGCCGCGUGAGUGAUGAAGGCCCUAGGGUCGUAAAGCUCUUUCGCCUGUGAAGAUAAUGACGGUAGCAGGUAAAGAAACCCCGGCUAACUCCGUGCCAGCAGCCGCGGUAAUACGGAGGGGGUUAGCGUUGUUCGGAAUUACUGGGCGUAAAGCGCACGUAGGCGGCUCUGCAAGUCGGGUGUGAAAUCCCCGGGCUCAACCUGGGAACUGCAUUCGAUACUGCAUUGCUGGAGUAUGGGAGAGGGAAGUGGAAUUUCCGGUGUAGCGGUGAAAUGCGUAGAUAUCGGAAGGAACACCAGUGGCGAAAGCGACUUCCUGGACCAAUACUGACGCUCAGGUGCGAAAGCGUGGGGAGCAAACAGG